rnacentral:rRNA from 1 species
AGUAACACGUAAGCAACCUGCCUAUCAGAGGGGAAUAACAAUGAGAAAUCAUUGCUAAUACCGCAUAACUUAUUUCAACUGCAUGGUAGAAAUAAGAAAGGAGCAAUCCGCUGAUAGAUGGGCUUGCGUCUGAUUAGAUAGUUGGUGGGGUAAAGGCCUACCAAGUCGACGAUCAGUAGCCGGACUGAGAGGUUGAACGGCCACAUUGGGACUGAGAUACGGCCCAGACUCCUACGGAAGGCAGCAG